UCCGGUUUGUCACCGGCAGUCACCCUAGAGUGCCCGCCUCAACGCGCUGGCAACUAAGGUCAAGGGUUGCGCUCGUUGCGGGACUUAACCCAACAUCUCACGACACGAGCUGACGACAACCAUGCACCACCUGUCUCCCCUGUCCCGAAGGCCUACGAUAUCUCUACCGUAUUCAGGGGGAUGUCAAGACCUGGUAAGGUUCUUCGCGUUGCUUCGAAUUAAACCACAUGCUCCACUGCUUGUGCGGGUCCCCGUCAAUUCCUUUGAGUUUCAGCCUUGCGGCCGUACUCCCCAGGCGGAGUGCUUAUUGGGUUUCCUUCGGCACCGCAGGGGCAAUCCCCGCAACACCUAGCACUCAUCGUUUACGGCAUGGACUAC
rnacentral:misc_RNA from 1 species